CCUACGAGGUGCAGCAGUGAGGAAUAUUGGUCAAUGGGAGGAAUCCUGAACCAGCCAUGCCGCGUGCAGGACGACGGCUCUACGAGUUGUAAACUGCUUUUGUACCGGGGUAAAAUGCUCUACGAGUAGGGUUUUGCAAGUACGGUACGAAUAAGGAUCGGCUAACUCCGUGCCAGCAGCCGCGGUAAUACGGAGGAUCCGAGCGUUAUCCGGAUUCAUUGGGUUUAAAGGGUGCGUAGGUUGUUUUAUAAGUUAGCGGUGAAAUACCGAUGCUCAACAUCGGGGCUGCCGCUGAUACUGUAGGACUAGAGAUCGGAUGCAGCAGGCGGAAUGUGUAGUGUAGCGGUGAAAUGCAUAGAUAUUACACAGAACACCGAUUGCGAAGGCAGCUUGCUAGGCCGGAUCUGACACUGAUGCACGAAAGCGUGGGGAUCGAACAGGAUUAGAUACCCUUGUAGUC
rnacentral:rRNA from 1 species